rnacentral:rRNA from 1 species
CCUAAGCACGCUCUAGAGAUAGAGUCUUCCCCUUCGGGGGACAAAGUGACAGGUGGUGCAUGGUUGUCGUCAGCUCGUGUCGUGAGAUGUUGGGUUAAGUCCCGCAACGAGCGCAACCCUUAAGCUUAGUUGCCAGCAUUAAGUUGGGCACUCUAAGUUGACUGCCGGUGACAAACCGGAGGAAGGUGGGGAUGACGUCAAAUCAUCAUGCCCCUUAUGAUUUGGGCUACACACGUGCUACAAUGGACAGUACAAAGGGCAGCGAAACCGCGAGGUCAAGCAAAUCCCAUAAAGCUGUUCUCAGUUCGGAUUGUAGUCUGCAACUCGACUACAUGAAGCUGGAAUCGCUAGUAAUCGUAGAUCAGCAUGCUACGGUGAAUACGUUCCCGGGUCUUGUACACACCGAAGAGG